rnacentral:rRNA from 1 species
ACUUUACAAUCCGAAAACCGUCUUCGUGCACACAGAAUUGCUGGAUCAGGGUUGCCCCCAUUGUCCAAUAUUCCCCACUGCUGCCUCCCGUAGGAGUAAGGGCCGUAUCUCAGUCCCCUUGUGGCCGUCCACCCUCUCAGGCCGGCUACCUAUCUUCGCCUUGGUGGGCCGUUACCCCUCCAACUAGCUAAUAGGACGCAAGGCUCUCCGCAGGCGUCUCCUUUCAUCACUAAGCUAUGCAGCUUAAUGACCUUAUCCGGUCUUGUCAGCAGUUUCCUGCUGUUAUCCCGGUCCCGCAGGUAAGUUCCUUACGCGUUACUCACCCGUCCGCCAUGGUUACCAUGGUGCAAGCACCACUUCCCCAUCGACUUGCAUGUGUUAAGCAUUCUGUCAGCGUUCAUCCUGAGCCAGGAUCAAACCCUC